rnacentral:rRNA from 1 species
UACGAAGGGGGCGAGCGUUGUUCGGAAUUACUGGGCGUAAAGGGCGCGUAGGCGGCGACUCUAGUCAGAUGUGAAAGUCCUGGGCUUAACCUGGGGACUGCAUUUGAUACUGGGUUGCUUGAAUUCGGGAGAGGAUAGCGGAAUUCCCAGUGUAGAGGUGAAAUUCGUAGAUAUUGGGAAGAACACCAGUGGCGAAGGCGGCUCACUGGUCCGGUACUGACGCUGAGGUGCGAAAGCGUGGGGAGCAAACAGG